CCACCUGGUCCCAGCAGACCCCAGAAGGU
ensembl:rRNA 5S_rRNA 5S ribosomal RNA